GGGUUGUGAGGUUAAGCGACUAAGCGUACACGGUGGAUGCCUAGGCAGUCAGAGGCGAUGAAGGGCGUGCUAAUCUGCGAAAAGCGUCGGUAAGGUGAUAUGAACCGUUACAACCGACGAUACCCGAAUGGGGAAACCCAGUGCAAUUCGUUGCACUAUUGCAUGGUGAAUACAUAGCCAUGCAAGGCGAACCGGGGGAACUGAAACAUCUAAGUACCCCGAGGAAAAGAAAUCAACCGAGAUUCCCCUAGUAGCGGCGAGCGAACGGGGAGGAGCCCAGAGUCUGAAUCAGUUUGUGUGUUAGUGGAAGCGUCUGGAAAGUCGCACGGUACAGGGUGAUAGUCCCGUACACAAAAACACACUUGCUGUGAACUCGAUGAGUAGGGCGGGACACGUGACAUCCUGUCUGAAUAUGGGGGGACCAUCCUCCAAGGCUAAAUACUCCUGACUGACCGAUAGUGAACCAGUACCGUGAGGGAAAGGCGAAAAGAACCCCGGCGAGGGGAGUGAAAUAGAACCUGAAACCGUGUACGUACAAGCAGUGGGAGCACCUUCGUGGUGUGACUGCGUACCUUUUGUAUAAUGGGUCAGCGACUUAUAUUUUGUAGCAAGGUUAACCGAAUAGGGGAGCCGUAGGGAAACCGAGUCUUAACUGGGCGUCUAGUUGCAAGGUAUAGACCCGAAACCCGGUGAUCUAGCCAUGGGCAGGUUGAAGGUUGGGUAACACUAACUGGAGGACCGAACCGACUAAUGUUGAAAAAUUAGCGGAUGACUUGUGGCUGGGGGUGAAAGGCCAAUCAAACCGGGAGAUAGCUGGUUCUCCCCGAAAGCUAUUUAGGUAGCGCCUCGUGAACUCAUCUUCGGGGGUAGAGCACUGUUUCGGCUAGGGGGCCAUCCCGGCUUACCAAACCGAUGCAAACUCCGAAUACCGAAGAAUGUUAUCACGGGAGACACACGGCGGGUGCUAACGUCCGUCGUGAAGAGGGAAACAACCCAGACCGCCAGCUAAGGUCCCAAAGUCAUGGUUAAGUGGGAAACGAUGUGGGAAGGCAUAGACAGCCAGGAUGUUGGCUUAGAAGCAGCCAUCAUUUAAAGAAAGCGUAAUAGCUCACUGGUCGAGUCGGCCUGCGCGGAAGAUGUAACGGGGCUAAACCAUGCACCGAAGCUGCGGCAGCGACACUUAGGUGUUGUUGGGUAGGGGAGCGUUCUGUAAGCCGUUGAAGGUGACCUGUGAGGGUUGCUGGAGGUAUCAGAAGUGCGAAUGCUGACAUAAGUAACGAUAAUGCGGGUGAAAAACCCGCACGCCGGAAGACCAAGGGUUCCUGUCCAACGUUAAUCGGGGCAGGGUGAGUCGACCCCUAAGGCGAGGCUGAAAAGCGUAGUCGAUGGGAAACAGGUUAAUAUUCCUGUACUUGGUGUUACUGCGAAGGGGGGACGGAGAAGGCUAGGCUAGCCGGGCGACGGUUGUCCCGGUUUAAGCAUGUAGGCGGAGUGACUUGGUAAAUCCGGUUGCUUAUCAACGCUGAGGUGUGAUGACGAGCCACUACGGUGGUGAAGUAGUUGAUGCCAAGCUUCCAGGAAAAGCCUCUAAGCAUCAGGUAACAUUAAAUCGUACCCCAAACCGACACAGGUGGUCAGGUAGAGAAUACUCAGGCGCUUGAGAGAACUCGGGUGAAGGAACUAGGCAAAAUGGUGCCGUAACUUCGGGAGAAGGCACGCUGGCAUUAGGUAAAGAGACUUGCUCUCGGAGCUGAAGCCAGUCGCAGAUACCAGCUGGCUGCAACUGUUUAAUAAAAACACAGCACUGUGCAAACACGAAAGUGGACGUAUACGGUGUGACGCCUGCCCGGUGCUGGAAGGUUAAUUGAUGGGGUCAGCCGCAAGGCGAAGCUCUUGAUCGAAGCCCCAGUAAACGGCGGCCGUAACUAUAACGGUCCUAAGGUAGCGAAAUUCCUUGUCGGGUAAGUUCCGACCUGCACGAAUGGCGUAAUGAUGGCCAGGCUGUCUCCACCCGAGACUCAGUGAAAUUGAACUCGCUGUGAAGAUGCAGUGUACCCGCGGCAAGACGGAAAGACCCCGUGAACCUUUACUAUAGCUUGACACUGAACAUUGAGCCUUGAUGUGUAGGAUAGGUGGGAGGCAUUGAAGUGUGGACGCCAGUCUGCAUGGAGCCAACCUUGAAAUACCACCCUUUAAUGUUUGAUGUUCUAACUCGGCCCCGUAAUCCGGGGUGAGGACAGUGUCUGGUGGGUAGUUUGACUGGGGCGGUCUCCUCCCAAAGAGUAACGGAGGAGCACGAAGGUUAGCUAAUCACGGUCGGACAUCGUGAGGUUAGUGCAAAGGCAUAAGCUAGCUUGACUGCGAGAGUGACGGCUCGAGCAGGUACGAAAGUAGGUCUUAGUGAUCCGGUGGUUCUGAAUGGAAGGGCCAUCGCUCAACGGAUAAAAGGUACUCCGGGGAUAACAGGCUGAUACCGCCCAAGAGUUCAUAUCGACGGCGGUGUUUGGCACCUCGAUGUCGGCUCAUCACAUCCUGGGGCUGAAGUAGGUCCCAAGGGUAUGGCUGUUCGCCAUUUAAAGUGGUACGCGAGCUGGGUUUAGAACGUCGUGAGACAGUUCGGUCCCUAUCUGCCGUGGGCGUUGGAAGAUUGAGAGGGGCUGCUCCUAGUACGAGAGGACCGGAGUGGACGAAUCACUGGUGUUCGGGUUGUCAUGCCAAUGGCAUUGCCCGGUAGCUAAAUUCGGAAGAGAUAACCGCUGAAAGCAUCUAAGCGGGAAACUUGCCUCGAGAUGAGUCUUCCCUGGGGCUUUAAGCCCCCUGAAGGAACGUUAAAGACUAUGACGUUGAUAGGCUGGGUGUGUAAGUGCAGCGAUGCAUUGAGCUAACCAGUACUAAUGAUCCGUGAGGCUUAACCUUACAACACCAAAGGUGUUUUG
rnacentral:rRNA from 1 species